rnacentral:rRNA from 1 species
GACGAACGCUGGCGGCGUGCUUAACACAUGCAAGUCGAACGAAGAGCGACGGAAGCUUGCUUCUAUCAAUCUUAGUGGCGAACGGGUGAGUAACGCGUAAUCAACCUGCCCUUCAGAGGGGGACAACAGUUGGAAACGAUUGCUAAUACCGCAUACGAUCUAACCUCGGUAUCGCGGAUAGAUGAAAGGUGGCCUCUACAUGUAAGCCAUAACUGAAGGCGGGGAUUGAGUCUGAUUAGCUAGAUGGAGGGGUACCGGCGCACUAAGGCGAGGAACAGUAGCCGGUCUGAGAGGAGGAGCGGCAACAUUGGGACGGGAACACGGCCCAGACCACUAGGGGAGAGAGCAGGGGGGAAUCUUCCGCAAUGGACGAAAGUCGGACGGAGCAACGCCGCGUGAGUGAGGACGGCCUUCGGGUUGUGAAGGUCUGUUAGUCGGGAGGAAAGGCCUUCUUGCGAAUAGGGAGAAGGAUUGACGGUACCGGAAUAGAAAGCCACGGCUAACUACGUG